AAAACAUCUGGAGAGCCGAAGGUUCCCCACCCCUGCCUUAGACCAUUGAUCAGGAUCCUUUAAAACAGAUACAUAUAAGCAGUAUAAAGAGGACUACUUUCCUGAUUUCCUGUUGAUAAGCUUGAGCUUCCUCCUCACCUCUGGCGAGCAGAGGCUGCUGCUGCUGAACCUCCCCUCUCCUCCUGCAUUAGAACAGCCUUGUGAUGUGUGCGGAGAUGAUUAGUACACGUUGUGAGAGUGCUGCUGUUAUUCUCACUUGCUUCAGUAAAACAGUUUACAUUUUGCAGGACCUGACUUCAUCUUCUUCAGCUGUUUAGUAAC